GAUGAAGAACGCAGCGAAAUGCGAUAAGUAAUGUGAAUUGCAGAAUUCAGUGAAUCAUCGAACCUUUGAACGCACAUUGCGCCCGCCAGUAUUCUGGCGGGCAUGCCUGUUCGAGCGUCAUUUCCACCAUCAGGCCCCCGGGCCUGUGUUGGGGACCUGCGGCUGCCCGCAGGCCCCGAAAUUCAGUGGCGGUCACGCCGUAGCAACCGAGCGUAGUAACUAAAACGUCUCGCUCUGGCUCGCUGGGCGCGCUCCGGCCGUAAAACACCCCCCCUUUUCGCAAAGGUUGACCUCGGAUCAGGUAGGAAUACCCGCUGAACUUAAGCAUAUCAAUAAGCGGAGGA
rnacentral:misc_RNA from 1 species